GCGCGCCACGAGGUUUCAAAACUUUAAUGUUUGAAAUAACGUGAAAGUAACGCAUGCGUAUAACAUUCCAAAAAAUACUUCAAAAUGAAAUGUUAGAAUGAACGACAAUAAAUACCACUAACCGAUACUUUCGUUCGAUAACCUUAAUACACUGACUGUUAUAAUAUAACUGUUGGCAUAAUUUUGAUAUCAUUUAUUAUACUAUCAAUUUUUUUGCAUUCCAAUCAAAAUUUCACGACAAAAUUUCACAGCUUUUAACAGAAAGAAGUUUUUGUUGCACUAAAAUAAAUACUUUUAUUGCACUAAAAGUAAAUGGUUUAUUGCAAUAAAACCUGAAAAGAUGAAUUUCGAUUUAAAUCUUACUAAAGUUUUUAAGACUAUAUUUUAUGCAUUAAAUUGGUUUUAACUAUGACAUAGUUAUAACCGAUUUUUAUCCUUAAAUAAUAUUUUGUUGCAGUGUCCUCAAAGAUAAGUCUAUUUUCAGACCAAUUUGAUUUAAUAUUUUCCGAUAUGGUCUUAGAAGAUGAGAUGGUAGUGGCUCUUCCUAAUCCGUGUGAAAUUGUUGUCAAGGCUAUUGAAUCACACCUACCAUUGCAAAGAAACAUACGAACCUACAUUUAUGGAAAUGUUGAAUUCAAUUCCAGUUAAUAACCAAGAAUGUUUGGGGGAUGAUCCUUGUAGAAGCAAUUGUUCAUCUCCUUUUCCGUCUUCACUCUCUCUAGAAAUUGGAGUAAAGUUACCUAUCUUUACAAUGGAAUGCAGCAAAUAUUUAACUGGUUUGGCGCCUUGCCGUAAGCAUACUUUAAAAGACAUUUGUAGUGAAUUGGCACAUCAUCUCGAAGGGUGUCUUCCUGAGGGAAACCAUUCAAAAAGAAAAAAGUUCUAUCAUUGUGUAACUGUCCUUUUGAAACAGUCAUAUCCAAACUGUACUUUUGGAAAACUGUACUUUUAGGUGCAGGUGGAAUUGUAAAGCGUGUUUCGAUUGUAAUUCGGAAGCGACGCGAGCGUUGUUUAAAAAGUUUGAUUGAGGAAAAAUGCUAACAGAAUGCUAAACAUCUCUGAGAAAAAUGCUAACAGAAUGCUAAACAUCUCUGGAAUAAACGAUAGCUCAUUUGAUGAAGAUAUACUGUUUGCUUUGGUACUAAGAGUUCCUGAUAUUCAUCAUAUUCGUUGUUUGGUUAGGAAUAUGAAGUGUUCUCUGUCAUAUUCAGAACAAAAAGAGCACCUAUUCUAUCCAGAAAUUAUCAUGGACGAAUUUGAAAGAAUGAGCAUAGUUACUAAAGAAGCAGCAUUAGAUAGGCUAUUGCAAGUUGUUUAAAAGUUGUAUCCCGGUUUAGAUAUUGCACCUGCCCUAAUACAAUUUCAUAAGCACACUACCAGAAGAGGAGUGUUGUGUCCAAUUGUUAUUGCUAGUCCUGAAGAUAAUACCUCUUCUCCUGGGCCGCAACUUAUUUUAGGAGAAAACAUAACAUUUGUUGACAAAGGGAAAGUAAUUGCGAUGGGUCAUCGGCAUAAUGAUUCCCUACACAUGCUUCAACUUAUCGCCUAUUAUUAUAUUAUGGACCUGUCGUACCCAAGAUCGUUUGGGGUAGUUUUAGGGCUGUUGCAGCAUUAUGUCUUGCAAAUACCAUUUGCUUCUACUAAUAAGCUUUGGCUAAAAAUAUGCAAAUUUUUGUAAAAGUUUUUAUGGUAUCUUUGUAUUUUGAGACUGUUCAGCUCUUCGCUAUAAACUGUUCAACUCUUUGCUUCGAAUAAAAACAUAAAGGCAAUUUAAAACUAAAUAUUUAUAUUUGAUGGUUUCUUUUUAAAAAAAUAAAAUAUGAUUUUUAUUA